GUAAGGAUAGAGGCUAGUACUCUAAACAUUGGCUCCUCUUUCCCUUUCUUCAGCAGCCCAGCCGCUCAGGCAUAUCCAAGAAACCCUGGGACUCUGCCAAACACAAGCCUCCGCCAGUGCCGGGCAGACCUUCCGGGGACCUUUGCUCAAGUGAUCAGAGCCCGUGUCUUUGCCCCUCCCACUAAAGAAUAAAAGUGGCCCGUGG
rnacentral:lncRNA from 1 species